rnacentral:rRNA from 1 species
UACGUAGGUGGCAAGCGUUGUCCGGAAUUACUGGGUGUAAAGGGAGCGCAGGCGGGAAGCCAAGUCAGCUGUGAAAACUACGGGCUUAACUUGUAGACUGCAGUUGAAACUGGUUUUCUUGAGUGAAGUAGAGGUUGGCGGAAUUCCGAGUGUAGCGGUGAAAUGCGUAGAUAUUCGGAGGAACACCGGUGGCGAAGGCGGCCUGCUGGACCGUGACUGACGUUGAGGCUCGAGAGCGUGGGGAGCAAACAGG